UUGUUAUAUUUGAAAUGUGGAAUUGGUCACAACUUACAUAUUAAUGGAAUAUGAAACAGACUAUAAUUCCUGAGCAGUUUUCUCUACAAAGUAAUAUGUCCUUUCCAAGAUAAGUUACAUUAUAUUGAAAAUUAUGUUAGAAAAGGAGGACUGUGAGAGGCCAUUUCAGGGCAGGUGUAUAUAGUGAAUGACCUUUCUGCCCUGACAUAGGUAAAAAACUGAUGGGCAAACAGCUGACGUCUUUCUCCAGCUUAAAUACAGUAUAUCCUGAGAAAAACCUGACGGGUGUGAGGUUCCUGAAAUGAAGGUUUAUUGUGCAAAGCAGUGAGUUUUUCUUCAAUACCGGAGCAAAGUGAGAAAUAACUUUGUAUUUUGAUUCAAGGCCUGUGACAUUUAGAUUGCUGCACAUUUCUUCCAACCUCAGAGAACUCAUAGAGUCAAC
rnacentral:lncRNA from 1 species